rnacentral:lncRNA from 1 species
GCCUGGCCAAGCAGCUGAGCGCCAAGGGCGUCGCCUACGACCACAUCCUGUUCGCGCAGUCGGACUUCUUCUAGGCCGGGGGCGCUGUGUGCCGCCUACCUAAGUGCCGCCUACGCGCCUGUGUGUGCCGCCUACCUAGGUGCCGACUACCUAGGUGCCGCCAGGCCGGCGUGUCCUGGUCACGCAGCCACAGGCCUUUUCCGGGCGAUGGCGGGGCUGUGGGGAGUGGUCGAGCGGAUGCUAGAUAGAU